rnacentral:lncRNA from 1 species
AGGUACAACAGAGACAGCUGUUUGUCCCCCAGUAUCCUUCAGACAAAGCCAUAUAUGAUUGAAGGUUAUCAGUACUGUGCUUUUGGAGGAUUCAGAAGAAGUUAUAUCUGAUUGGGAGAUUGAAAAGGAUUGGCCUGAAGGAGAGGUGGUUUUUGAACUGCAUCUUAAAGGAUGAGGAAACUGAGGCUGAGAGGGUAGAGAACUUUGCCUGAGGUCACUCAGCAGGGACCCACCCAUCACAGUAAAUGCCAGCACUGCUGAUGCCAAAACAAUGUUAUUUGUAGGCCCUCGGAAUUUGUGACCUGAAGGAAGAAGAGCAGGGCCGUGGGAAGUAUGUAACCAGUGUCAUGCCCCUGGUCCCAAGGAAGCAGUGGCUUGGCCUGAACACCCUGUCCUACCUGGUCCUACCUGGAUGCUGGCCUCAGUAAGCUCCUGGGCUCAUUGAAGAUGAACCUAGCAGUAGUAUUUACACCACUUGUUGUGUGCCCACUGUGGGCCCGGCGCCAUGCCGAGUGCUCUAUGGAUGUGAGAUGAGAACACUGAAGCAGUUUUUUCUAAAGAUAGCUGCCUGGCACAGUGGCUCACAUCUGUAGUCCCAGCAUUUGGGGAGGCCAAGGCAGGUGGAUCACUUGAGGCCAGGAAUUCAAGACCAGCAUGGCCAACAUGUGCUGGGAGAGAAAAGCAUACGACAUAGACAGGGAGGUCAAGCUCCACCACGCAGAUGAGGUGCAGGCCACCAGUCUUCCUCUGCCACAUCUCUUUCUGAAAAGGACUUCACAUUCACCCUUGCAAUCCAUGUGGGGACACUGUUGGAUAGGAGGCGUGGUCCCAGCGUGGUCUCCCUGUCUGGGCCUCUGCCUAUGCCAAAUGUUUGCCUUACGCUGCACACUCAAGAGGUUCCAUGUAUACAGAUGGGAAUUCCAGAGCUACAGAAAAGGCAGCAAGCACCAUGAUUUAAGCUAACCAGUGUGGAUUCACACCUUCCUCUCUCUCUAUCAGUGGCAGAACUACCAGCUAGAGUAAGAAGUGGUUGAUCCAGGACCUAAACAUUCUGGAAACUCUUGCCCACUUCUGGGAGAAAUGACCCAAUCCAUAGUACUAAGCACACCUUAACUUUCGUAGGACGCAGGCAAGUUGUCAUACCGUGUGCCUAAAUAUAGAAAAAUGAUCCACUGGACUAAUAAAGUGUUAAAUAAAAUA